AAGCAGGGGAUCUUCGGACCUUGCGCUAAUAGAUGAGCCUAAGUCAGAUUAGCUAGUUGGUGGGGUAAAGGCCUACCAAGGCGACGAUCUGUAGCGGGUCUGAGAGGAUGAUCCGCCACACUGGGACUGAGACACGGCCCAGACUCCUACGGGAGGCAGCAGUGGGGAAUAUUGGACAAUGGGCGAAAGCCUGAUCCAGCCAUGCCGCGUGUGUGAAGAAGGCCUUUUGGUUGUAAAGCACUUUAAGCGAGGAGGAGGCUACUUAGAUUAAUACUCUAGGAUAGUGGACGUUACUCGCAGAAUAAGCACCGGCUAACUCUGUGCCAGCAGCCGCGGUAAUACAGAGGGUGCGAGCGUUAAUCGGAUUUACUGGGCGUAAAGCGUGCGUAGGCGGCUUUUUAAGUCGGAUGUGAAAUCCCUGAGCUUAACUUAGGAAUUGCAUUCGAUACUGGGAAGCUAGAGUAUGGGAGAGGAUGGUAGAAUUCCAGGUGUAGCGGUGAAAUGCGUAGAGAUCUGGAGGAAUACCGAUGGCGAAGGCAGCCAUCUGGCCUAAUACUGACGCUGAGGUACGAAAGCAUGGGGAGCAAACAGGAUUAGAUACCCUGGUAGUCCAUGCCGUAAACGAUGUCUACUAGCCGUUGGGGCCUUUGAGGCUUUAGUGGCGCAGCUAACGCGAUAAGUAGACCGCCUGGGGAGUACGGUCGCAAGACUAAAACUCAAAUGAAUUGACGGGGGCCCGCACAAGCGGUGGAGCAUGUGGUUUAAUUCGAUGCAACGCGAAGAACCUUACCUGGUCUUGACAUAGUAAGAACUUUCCAGAGAUGGAUUGGUGCCUUCGGGAACUUACAUACAGGUGCUGCAUGGCUGUCGUCAGCUCGUGUCGUGAGAUGUUGGGUUAAGUCCCGCAACGAGCGCAACCCUUUUCCUUAUUUGCCAGCGGGUUAAGCCGGGAACUUUAAGGAUACUGCCAGUGACAAACUGGAGGAAGGCGGGGACGACGUCAAGUCAUCAUGGCCCUUACGACCAGGGCUACACACGUGCUACAAUGGUCGGUACAAAGGGUUGCUACCUAGCGAUAGGAUGCUAAUCUCAAAAAGCCGAUCGUAGUCCGGAUUGGAGUCUGCAA
rnacentral:rRNA from 1 species